rnacentral:rRNA from 1 species
CUGGCUCAGGAUGAACGCUGGCGGCGUGCCUAAUACAUGCAAGUCGAACGCACAGCGAAAGGUGCUUGCACCUUUCAAGUGAGUGGCGAACGGGUGAGUAACACGUGGACAACCUGCCUCAAGGCUGGGGAUAACAUUUGGAAACAGAUGCUAAUACCGAAUAAAACUUAGUGUCGCAUGACACAAAGUUAAAAGGCGCUUUGGCGUCACCUAGAGAUGGAUCCGCGGUGCAUUAGUUAGUUGGUGGGGUAAAGGCCUACCAAGACAAUGAUGCAUAGCCGAGUUGAGAGACUGAUCGGCCACAUUGGGACUGAGACACGGCCCAAACUCCUACGGGAGGCUGCAGUAGGGAAUCUUCCACAAUGGGCGAAAGCCUGAUGGAGCAACGCCGCGUGUGUGAUGAAGGCUUUCGGGUCGUAAAGCACUGUUGUAUGGGAAGAACAGCUAGAAUAGGGAAUGAUUUUAGUUUGACGGUACCAUACCAGAAAGGGACGGCUAAAUACGUGCCAGCAGCCGCGGUAAUACGUAUGUCCCGAGCGUUAUCCGGAUUUAUUGGGCGUAAAGCGAGCGCAGACGGUUGAUUAAGUCUGAUGUGAAAGCCCGGAGCUCAACUCCGGAAUGGCAUUGGAAACUGGUUAACUUGAGUGCAGUAGAGGUAAGUGGAACUCCAUGUGUAGCGGUGGAAUGCGUAGAUAUAUGGAAGAACACCAGUGGCGAAGGCGGCUUACUGGACUGUAACUGACGUUGAGGCUCGAAAGUGUGGGUAGCAAACAGGAUUAG